rnacentral:lncRNA from 1 species
UGCAGAGACCAGUUUAGUCUUGCUCCACCCUCCGGUGCUGAGGAGUCGAGGUGCAGGGUGACGGGGAGGAGGAGUAGGGGAGAGAUACUAAUGUCAUGACGUGGGACUCGCUCCAGCUCCUUUAGCUCUGCACGUAGGGGAUGUCAGAAAGCAACAUCUGAGUCAUCGUUACUUAGCCACAGCGCAGACCUGGCGCAGAGUCAAAAAUGCCCAGAUACUACUGCGCGAGUGGUUCAGACCAGUGCUGGUUUGCAUCCUUCUGCCAGACCACUGGAGAAGGCUUUCGGCAAAACAUCAAAGCAGAGACCCAGUGAAUCACAGGAUCCAAUGUUGAGGCUCCAACAGCCCUUUUGUUUCCUCCAAACAAAUGUGUCAUGGCUGUUAUACCUGGAGGUCAUGGAAAAAAGGUCUCAUCAGAACUGCUGUGAGAAAUAUUUUGGCUUGGGAAAAACAUUUUGAAUGUGUCCUGCAUGAAUACAGUAACAAAAGAGUGAAGAAAAACUGUCUUCCUGAAGCAUGGUAACAGAAAGCUGAAUAGCAGAAAUGACUUUAAGAGGAAAAAGCCUGAAUACUUUCUAGUAAUAAGGACAGAAAAGCACUGGAAGAGACCAUCUAGGGAAAUUUUGGCUUCCCUGUCACUGGAAGAUUUGAAGAACAGCUUAGAUACACUUCUGUCAGGAAUAACUCAUGAAAACACGUGGUAUUAUAGUCUGAAUUAGAAUGAUGAAGGCUCAAAUCAAGCCUUAUACAGAAUUAAACCUUUACAUGGCAGCUUAUUCACAUUGCUUUGCAUGCAAGGCUCUUGAAAGAAUCUACUGCCCCAGAUGUUAACGUUUUUGGCUUUCCGGGUAGGCACUAGCUGAUCAAACUCAAUGCUAGAAGAUUUGCUGCUUCAAACUUGGAUCGGAUCUUUGCAAUGUAAAGCUUCUUUUAGUAAAAAUUCAGAGAGUUAAAAGUUUCAGGGACACCGAGAGGGUUCUCAAAAGUAGCAAUACAAAUGACUAGAGUUUUAUUGCCAUCACAUCGGUGUUGUUUGGCAAAGAUACAAACAACAGCAAUGGCAGUUAGAGCUGUUCAGAGACCCAAGAUAACGAUAAUGUCAAUUUGCACUACCAUGAGAAUAUUAAAAUAAAAA